UAUUUCAUAACAAAAAUGUAGUAUUUGGCUGUCAAAUGCAUUCAUUUAAAAUGCAUGGCUAACACCCGCUUUAUAUUCCCUGGCAUAUAAUAGCUUUAUUUUAAGUCCAAAAUAGUUAAGUAAGAACUCCUUCCUAUUACCUUAAUUAAACAAACCUUCUAAAUUGAGGUAUUCCAUGCUUUAUAAUUUAUAUCACUUGGCCUUUACAAAUUUAGAUAAAUAAAUCGGGGUGUGCCAUAUACAAGUAUAAUCUUUUAAUUUAUAGCCCUCAUAUAAUUGAAUUAAUAACCAUAGUUUGCUUUAGGUUGAAGUUGUGCGAACGUGUCCCUCGAGUCUUUUAAUAAGUUAAUUCGCAAUUAUGGUACGUGAAUGUAUACACAAUUGCAAUAAUAAACAAAGCAUUAUUAAUCGUGGACACGUUUGUGUGAUAUGAUUUUGACGCGCCCAAAAAAGAGAGCAUAUGUACGCAUAACUCAAGACAGUAAUUACAAAUAAUUCAAGUGAUUUAAAAGCAAUAAAAAGGUAAAUGCACAUAGGUUCUAAAAUAAGUAAUUAGACAAUAUAAGCCGAGUAUAAAUUGCUAAGCGACCGUGCUAGAACCACGGAACCCGGGAAUGCCUAAUACCUUCUCCCGGGUAAACAAAAUUCCGUACUUAGAAUUUCUGGUUCGUAGACUUCAAAAGGAAAUUCGAAUUUCCUCGAUUUGGGAUUUUAAACUAAACCGAUGACUUGGGACACCAGAAAACAAACCAUCCCAAGUGGCGGCUCUGAAUAAAAUUGAAUAAAUAAUCUCAUUUUGAAUAAUGUCACGUAAAUUGGAAAAACUCUCUUAUAUACCAUCGGGUGUGUAAAAAAAGAGGUGUGACAAAUAGUAUUCAAUGUAACGUUAUAAUUGGCAAUCAUAAUCUGAUUCAAUACAAAUUCUAUAACAUUUUCCGUUGUUAAUGCCUAUUAAUUGCCAAUAAUAUGAUAUUGUUAUGAAAUAAUAUAAG
rnacentral:lncRNA from 1 species